rnacentral:rRNA from 1 species
AACGAACGCUGGCGGCAUGCUUAACACAUGCAAGUCGAACGAGAUCUUCGGGUCUAGUGGCGCACGGGUGCGUAACGCGUGGGAAUCUGCCCUUUGGUUCGGAAUAACAGUUGGAAACGACUGCUAAUACCGGAGGAUGACGAAAGUCCAAAGGUUUAUCGCCAGAGGAAGAGCCCGCGGAGGAUUAGCUGGUUGGGGGGGUAAAGGUGCACCAAGGCGACGAUCCUUAGCUGGUAUGAGAGGAUGAUCAGGCACACUGGGACUGAGACACGGCCCAGACUCCUGCGGGAGGCAGCAGUGUGGAAUAUUGGACAAUGGGCGAAGGCCUGAUCCAGCAAUGCCGCGUGAGUGAUGAAGGCCUUAGGGUUGUAAAGCUCUUUUACCCGGGAUGAUAAUGACAGUACCGGGAGAAUAAGCUUCGGCUAACUCCGUGCCAGCCGCCGCGGUAAAAC